UGGCAGCGCGUCAUGUGUGUGCCCACUCACUGGCUCCUGCCCUCGUACCCGAUCCCCUCCCCUCACAUCCCGCUGAAUGGCGAGUAGGGUCCUGAGUGAAAAUGGGACCUCAUCAGAUGGUAUAACUGCUCUAUCCGAAUAUUUGGAUGAAAACAGCAGCAGAUUCCUUCCUCUAGAUUUUCUAGAGUUUUAUUUGGAGGAUUCCCCACAUAACAGGAUGACUGAGAAGUGUUAAAUACAAUCCGAAGAGCUGCAGAG